GCUACUACAAGAUAGGGUUACGUAUUCAUCUCCGUGCAAUUUUAAAAGUGCGGACGAUUUGUGGCAACGCCGUUUUCUGUUUUCUGUCAUCGACAGGACCAUCCUCUUCUCGCUUUUUCAUCACCAAACGUCGGAUUGAGGUUAGGAUCCUCACGUGUUCUUCAACACCAACACACAGAUUUCAGCACAGGCAAUCGGUCAAUUUGUACCGCAAGUGUGUGACUGUCUUGUGGAAGUCCUUCGAGAGCAGGUAAAGUUACCCACAUGCUCCGACGAAUGGAAACGAAUCGCGCAAGGCUUUCAAGACAAAUGGAAUUUUCCACAUGCAAUCGGAGCAAUUGAUGGAAAACACGUUAUGAUAAAGUCUCCUCCACAUAGUGGAACCGACUAUUUUAAUUACAGAAGGCAUUUUAGCAUCGUUCUGCUAGGUGUAGUUGAUGCCAACUGUAAUUUUAUGUAUGCAGACAUUGGCGCAAAAGGUCGAAUAUCUGA